GUGAGGAAUAUUGGUCAAUGGGCGAUGGCCUGAACCAGCCAAGUAGCGUGAAGGAUGACUGCCCUAUGGGUUGUAAACUUCUUUUAUAAAGGAAUAAAGUCGGGUAUGCAUACCCGUUUGCAUGUACUUUAUGAAUAAGGAUCGGCUAACUCCGUGCCAGCAGCCGCGGUAAUACGGAGGAUCCGAGCGUUAUCCGGAUUUAUUGGGUUUAAAGGGAGCGUAGAUGGAUGUUUAAGUCAGUUGUGAAAGUUUGCGGCUCAACCGUAAAAUUGCAGUUGAUACUGGAUGUCUUGAGUGCAGUUGAGGCAGGCGGAAUUCGUGGUGUAGCGGUGAAAUGCUUAGAUAUCACGAAGAACUCCGAUUGCGAAGGCAGCCUGCUAAGCUGCAACUGACAUUGAGGCUCGAAAGUGUGGGUAUCAAACAGGAUUAGAAACCCCAGUAGUCC
rnacentral:rRNA from 1 species